GCACUGUUAAAGAGUCCCACAAUAGGACAAAACGGCCGUCCAGUGC
rfam:Schistosoma mansoni strain Puerto Rico chromosome 1, complete genome